GCUGGGCGAGGUAGUGCACGUCUGUAAUCCCAGUGACUCAGGAAGCUGAGGCAGGAGGAUCGCAAGUUCUAGGCCAGUCCUGGCAACUAGCGAGCUCCUUAACAACUUAGCAAGAUGCUGUCUCAA
rnacentral:sRNA from 1 species